rnacentral:lncRNA from 1 species
GUUACAUUGUCGCAGAGAGAGGUCAAUGAUCUUUACAGGUUUCCUCCAUGGUUCAGUGAACCUAGACCAGGCCUGUGGGAGGAACUGUGGGGGUUGUUUUUUUUCUUUCUUGCACACAUGGGUUUUAUUUGAUAACAAUAUGCUAAAAUAUGUGAAGAAAUUAAUUUAUAAAUUCAGGUAUUUUUAUGUAACAAGUUCUAGUGAUGAUAUGCUGUCAUUUUCUUGGAUGUAUUGUAUUUCAUUCUAAGUUUUAAUCUAUUUCUUUGUGGAUUUUUUUUGUUAAAUCAGUAAAAAGACAAACACUUAUAUGUGGAAAUACAUAUAAAUACAUAUAUAUGAGAAUGUAAUACAUAUAUGCAUAUGUGCAUACACAUGUAACUCUGAUUACCUAAACACUGCUCUAGUUUAAAAAUAGUUCAAAAUAACCUAUUUUGUGGUAAUAAUGGCAUCAUUAUUUGUAAUUUAAUUGUUAAUGAUACAUUAAAUUGUAUCAAAAUAAUGUACUUGCUCCUUAGGGUGAAUACUCCUCAUUAAAAGACUUGAAAUUUAGAAAUAAAUAAAGUAAAAGAAAUAAAACUGGAUUACUAUCACCUAACAAAACAAAAGAAGAAAAUUCCAUUUUAAAAUGUAUUAUUUGAUGGCAUUUAGUAUACUCAUCAGAUUAUGCAAUCAUCAAUACUAAUUCCAGAAAUAGUUCAUUGCCCAAAAGAAACUAGUUGACUACUUCUCAGUAGCCCUGUGCACACUCUUCUGUCUUUGUGGCUUUGCUAGUUCUAGACAUUUUAUAUAGAUGUAACCAUACUUUGCUGUUGUUUUUGCUGUUGUUAUGUGUACAUGAUGUGUGUGUGUGUGUGUGUGUGUGUGUGUGUGUGUAUGUGUGUGUGUGUGUGUGUAUGAUAUAGUACAUAUGCCACAGCACUUGUGGAGAGGUCAGAAGACAACUUUAUGGAGUCAGUUCUUUCCUUCCACCUUUGUAUGUGUUCCCAGACUCCAAUGAUAUCACCAGGCUUGAAUCGCAAACACCCUUACCUGCUAAGCCAUCUUGCUGGCCUUCGUUACUGUCUUUUUCAUGUAGCACAGAAUUUUCAAGCUUUAUCAAUGUAGUAAUUGGCAUCAAAUGCCAUUCUUUACAGGGUCCAGUGGAUUCCAGUUGUAUAGACAUAACACAUCUGGUUAACCAUUUUCAACUGAUGAGAAUUUAGAUUAUUCCUACUUCUUUAGUUAUUAUUAUUCUAACUACUUAGGUCAAUUAAGCUAAAUUAUGAUGAGUCUAUGAUGUAGGUAUUCGUCUCAAGAGAUUAUCGGUCAAAUGAAGCUAAUGAGCACCAGAAAUUGACAUAACAUGAAUAAUUUGGUGGGAAUAACUCACUGUUUAAAUGGUCAUUCACUCCAUUAAACCAACAUGUGAGGUCACUGAAUGACUUAGAGGACUGGUCUGAUUUCACCGUUUAUGAAAGUCAAGUGGGGCAGAGUUUAAAAGGCAGCAGAAUUGGCCCUACUCUUGAAGAACUUUGAGUUCUAAUUUGAACUAUCCUCAGACUAUCCACACUACUGCCUUAUAGUCCAUUGGAAUUAUGUUAAUAUGGAGUUCUGGUGAAGGCUGUCAAUUACCAAUGAUCUCCCUAAAAUGCUUCUGCCAGAGUCUCUGGUACACCAAACAGCUCAGAGCUAGGGCUCAUCUGACAAAUGUGAGGAUACUUAUCAGGGCAAAUCUUUAACUUUCUUGAGUAUCAGAAACCACCAUAGCUUCCAGAGUAACCUUUGCUCAUAUUGAAAGGGUCAGCCACCAGUCUGGUUCUGAACUCAGAAGUGGUUUGUUUUUUUAAAAGGAGUGGUACCCGUGCUUUAAGUACACAGAAGUAUGGAGUGUCACUUUCUCACCGCUGCUUGCAAGCAGCAUCUGCCCAAGGGUUAAUUGUGCCGGCUCAUUGCUGGUGUAUUAAUGCCACGACCCUAGUGUGCCACACAUCUGUCCUUUUCCUCUUUAGGCCAGAGAAGGCCGAACCACCAUUGUGAUAGCUCACCGAUUGUCUACCAUCCGGAACGCAGAUGUCAUCGCUGGGUUUGAGGAUGGAGUCAUUGUGGAACAAGGAAGUCACAGUGAGCUGAUGAAGAAGGAAGGGAUCUACUUCAGACUCGUUAACAUGCAGGUAUAAGCACAUCACAGAUGGUUUUCUCUGUUGCCUGGGUUGCUUAUAUGGUAGUCUUUAAGUUAUUAAAAUAGAUUACAGCUGAUGGUAUACAAAGAAACCAUGACUAGGAUGAGGCAUUAAAAUUAGAACCUGGGAAAGAGUGAAGGGCUCGGGAAGAAAGGCAAAUGUAAAACUCACAGUUAAUGUAUUCAUUAGAUCAAUAAGAUUGUCUAGGGAAUGUGUCCAAACUACAAGUUCUUCCAGUGGAAGGAGAAAGAGAUCUAUAGUGGUUGGGAGAGAGGUACACUUUAUAAAUGCUUUGUAGACAAACCUGGUAUAGCUCAAGUGGCAACAUUUGCAGCUUUAGCAGGUUAAAUAGUUGGUUUUAAAAACUGCUUACUCUUCUCACUAAAAAAUCAUUAGUGUGUCUCAUAUUCUGCACUAUCAUUUUAGCAAACUUUCAGGAUACGUAACCUAAAGCUUUCCUAUGACUCAAGUUCAUAAACUUUAAACUAUGUGUACUAACUAUGUAUACUUUGGCCUUGUAAAAAGCGUAUACAUGUGUAUUUCAGAUUUUUCCCCUUGACAUUCCAGAUAUACUCCAUGAAAUAUUAUUUCAAUUACUCAGCAGUACUUAUAAGAAAUAUGUUUCAUAUAACCUAUUUUCUCUAGAAACUAACUUAUAACUUAGUUUCUCUAGAGAUGAAUAAUUAGCUUAUUUCAAUAUUUAUGUUUUCUUUUUAAACACUGCUAGGACAAGCACAAAUUAAAAAAUAGCCUCAAGCCGGGCAUGGUGGCACAUGCCUUUAAUCCCAGCACUCGGGAGGCAGAGGCAGGCAGAUUUCUGAGUUCAAGGCCAGCCUGGUCUACAAAGUGAGUUCCAGGACAGCCAGGGCUACACAGAGAAACCCUGUCUCGAAAAACCAAAAAAAAAAAAAAAAAAAAAUAGCCUCAAAUCCCUAAGUUCUGCCAAGUACCAUUCUGCUGAGCAUCAAUCCUUCAUUUGGAUUAGCAAUCCUACUGUGAGCUAUUGCUAUACAUUUAAGAAACAAAUGCCUGCCUAGCACUAAAAUGUGUGAGCUAAGAUGUUACUCUUACAGAAGAAAACAGCAGGGUAAUGGUUUGUAAAGCCCAGGGAGUACUGGAGAGGGUAAGGGAG